AACGAACGCUGGCGGCAUGCCUAACACAUGCAAGUCGAACGCUCGCAAGAGAGUGGCGGACGGGUGCGUAACACGUGGGAACCUGCCUUUGGGUACGGAACAACACCGGGAAACUGGUGCUAAUACCGUAUAAUGUCUACGGACCAAAGAUUUAUCGCCUGAAGAGGGGCCCGCGUUGGAUUAGCUUGUUGGUGAGGUAGAGGCUCACCAAGGCGAUGAUCCAUAGCUGGUCUGAGAGGAUGAUCAGCCACACUGGGACUGAGACACGGCCCAGACUCCUACGGGAGGCAGCAGUGGGGAAUAUUGGACAAUGGGCGAAAGCCUGAUCCAGCAAUGCCGCGUGAGUGAAGAAGGCCUUAGGGUUGUAAAGCUCUUUCGUCCACGACGAUAAUGACGGUAGUGGAAGAAGAAGCCCCGGCUAACUCCGUG
rnacentral:rRNA from 1 species